rnacentral:rRNA from 1 species
AUGGUAGCCUUUAGGGACGUUUUGGAGGUCUGUGGAUUGGUUGAUCUAGGCUUUAUUGGAGUUCCAUUCACAUAUGAUAAUAAGAGGAGUGGUGCAAGUAAUGUCAAAGUCCGUCUGGACAGAGCGGUGGCAUCCAAUGCAUGGAGGAAUCUGUUUGCGUACUCGCUGGUUGUUCAUAUUCCUUCUCCUUGCUCGGAUCAUAUAGCCAUACUGGUGAAGGGUUUAGCUGAUCCGGGUCCGACGAGGAAGAGCAGCAGAAGAUACGAGCUUUUUUGGGAACGGGAUCCUAUGUUGCCGGAGGUAAUAAGGGAAGCAUGGGAGGCUGUAGGCGGAGUCCAGAAUCUGGCACAGUUGCGAGAUACUCUCUCCAAGACCAUGAGCUCGUUGGGGGUAUGGAGUAAAAAAUUCAGAAAUAUUAGGAGAGAGCUGGCAAAGUCCCGGACUCAAUUAGAAGAAUUGAUGCACAUGAACACUGACAGAGCGGAAAUCAGGGUAAUAACGGAAAAGUGA